rnacentral:lncRNA from 10 species
GACCCGCCCGCCUCCCGCCAGCCUGCAGUUGACGUGGAGCAGGCGGCAUAAAUCAAGUCCGCGGGGCAUGGAGGCUGCUGUCGCUGCAGCAGCUCAGCUUGCCCGGGGCGGGAACUCCCCCUUUCUCCUUUCGCCUCCCCAGCACCCACACCCUGUCUCCCCCUUAAUUCUUCCCUGGAUAAUAGCACCCUAACGACAACAGUCAUAAUAAUAGGGUUAGAACGACAGGGGAGGAAAACUCAACAGCCUAAAUAUCUCUGAAAACUGCAUCGCAAAAUGGAAGAAAGAGGGGGUCCCACUACUGUUUCAAAAGAGAGCCAUGGAAGUCAAAUGCUGAGGAUGGUGGCAUCAUAGGAUGAAUGGAGCUGGGUUCUUGAAACACUGCCUGGAGGAAAGACAGCAAAAAUGCCUCAUGAAUCCAACUGGACUGUUAGGAUGCUCACCCUUGGAGACCAGCAACAAUGUGUGCAGAAACCCAGGCCAUGUGGAGAGGCCCCACAUACGUGUCCAACUGAGGUCCCAGCUGACAGCUGGCAUUGACAUGUGAGUGAGACUCUGAACGUUCCAGCUGAUGACAAGUACAGUUUGAGCGAGCUAUCCCUGUUGGGCCUGUCAAAACUGCAGAUUUCAUGAAGAAAAUAAGUGUUGUUGACUUAAGCCAGUAAGUUUUGACAUACUAUGUUACACAGCCAUAGUAGCUGGAAGAGUGUGAAACAAAUACUAUUCUCUUGUGUCUCAUUUCUCUAUAAAGUAUAUCUUCCCCCUUCCUUGCAUAGGGAUUCUUUCUCCUUUUCUCUCAGACAGUUCUGCUAUUAUCCCUGCUAGUGAUGCUAUUACUACUUCAAAUACUAUUGUUUUUAUAUCUGUUGCUACUACUGAAAAUAAGAUAAUUUUAUAACUAAUGUUGAGUAUGCAUCUACUAUAUAGAUUUACAUCCUUAACAUGUAUUAAAUCACGUAAUUCUUACAUCAAAAGCAUGGAAUUGUAUCACCCCAAGAUUCAUAUGUUGAAGUCCUCACCUUUAGUAUUCACAAUGUGACCUGUUUGGAGAUAUGGUCUUUAAAGAUGUGAAAUGAAGCCAUUAAAGUAGUCCUUAAUCCAAUA